CUGGAGACGCCACUGAAUGGCAUUAAAUCAUUUUCGAAAGCUUAUUAAAUCUAGGCAUAUAAGAUCUACUUUUUUCUAAUAACCACUCAUAACAUCUAUUUCUAGACAAGAAACCCAAACAUCAAACUUUGUUUACAAAUUACUCCUAACAUCUCAAUGUUCAAUCAAACAUUAUCAAUGCUGAGAUUGCAUGGUAACUAUAAACCCUCAGCUUCUUUAGAAGUUGAGAUACCAAAGAAGUAUUUAUCAAACUAACACCCCUGUCUUAACACCUUUUAAAGAAUACCAUCUGAUACUUUAGUAAAAAAUGGUGAAUAUUGAAUACUUACUUCUAUCUCAAGAGAUGGGUUCAUAAUAUGUAACUAAGGGUUUAUAUGCAUUUUGAAUUUCAGCACAAACUGAAGAAAAAAAUACAUAAACUGCAGUGAAUUAAUUAUGCACUUAGAACGUCUGCAAAUAGAUACACUGUAAUCUAAUCCAACUAGUUUAUGCUUCUAUUUACAGAAUGUUUGGCUGUUGCUUAGAUUUAAAGUUAGCUGUGAUAAACUGUCAGUGAUGUUUAAAGGGACAGAUUACCAGAAUAAUGUAGUGCUAUGGUUCUAGAAAACCCUCAGGUUCAAGCAAUUGGUCACAAACGUGAUAAUUCACUGGCACCCACAGUCCAUCCCCAAAAUAUGAAACAUAUUUAAAAUGGUUGAAUAAUUCCCAUUUUCUCAUCAACUGUUCUAGUGUCCCUGUUUCGAUUGUACACCUCAGCAAGGGCAGCUGUAAUUGACCUAUACAUUAGCAGUCAGACAUUGCACAAGCAGCUGGGGCUGGAUUGUAUUAAAAUUGAUUUGUCCAUUGACAUCAAUAUGAAAAUUAUCAUUCAAUUUCUCGAGCAUCUAGCCCUUUGACUCUUGGGAAAAAAACAUAUGACUGUAAAAAAUGAGGGCCUGCUCCCAUUGCUAUGUAGCACCAUAGACAAUUCAGUUCUCUCGUGAUUAUUGUACCUGGUGUUUCAAAACAACAUAUUUCUAAAGCAGUUUUAUUAUUAUUAUAAUUAUAAUUGUAAC